CCUACGGGAGGCUGCAGUGGGGAAUAUUGGACAAUGGGGGGAACCCUGAUCCAGCCAUGCCGCGUGUGUGAAGAAGGCCCUCGGGUUGUAAAGCUCUUUCAGUGAGGAAGAACGCCUGGUGGUUAAUACCCAUCAGGAAAGACAUCACUCACAGAAGAAGCACCGGCUAACUCCGUGCCAGCAGCCGCGGUAAUACGGAGGGUGCGAGCGUUAAUCGGAAUUACUGGGCGUAAAGCGCGCGUAGGUGGCUUGAUAAGCCGGUUGUGAAAGCCCCGGGCUCAACCUGGGAACGGCAUCCGGAACUGUCAAGCUAGAGUGCAGGAGAGGAAGGUAGAAUUCCCGGUGUAGCGGUGAAAUGCGUAGAGAUCGGGAGGAAUACCAGUGGCGAAGGCGGCCUUCUGGACUGACACUGACACUGAGGUGCGAAAGCGUGGGUAGCAAACAGGAUUAGAUACCCUAGUAGUC
rnacentral:rRNA from 1 species